rnacentral:rRNA from 1 species
AACGAACGCUGGCGGCAUGCCUAACACAUGCAAGUCGAACGAGACCUUCGGGUCUAGUGGCGCACGGGUGCGUAACGCGUGGGAACCUGCCCUUAGGUUCGGAAUAACUCCCCGAAAGGGGUGCUAAUACCGGAUAAUGUCUUCGGACCAAAGAUUUAUCGCCUUUGGAUGGGCCCGCGUUGGUUUAGCUAGUUGGUAGGGUAAAAGCCUACCAAGGCGACGAUCCAUAGCUGGUCUGAGAGGAUGAUCAGCCACACUGGGACUGAGACACGGCCCAGACUCCUACGGGAGGCAGCAGUGGGGAAUAUUGGACACUGGGCGAAAGCCUGAUACAGCAAUGCCGCGUGAGUGAUGAAGGCCUUAGGGUUGUAAAGCUCUUUUACCCGGGAUGAUAAUGACAGUACCGGGAGAAUAAGCUCCGGCUAACUCCGUG